GUGACAUAAUCCAGGGCUAAGGAUUGGAAGCAGGGAAAGAAGGAAGGAAGGAAGGAAGGAAGGAAGGUCUUCAUCACAACCACGUCAAUUUUAGGUGAGAAGAUAAAGACUCAGAGCAGCAAUGUGAUGCAAGCAG
rnacentral:lncRNA from 1 species